rnacentral:rRNA from 1 species
AAAACAUCUUUUCUUGUUUUAAAAUAUGAGAUUUGACCUGCCCAAUGAUUUAUUUAAUGGCCGCGGUAUUCUGACCGUGCAAAGGUAGCAUAAUCAUUAGUCUAUUAAUUUGUGGACUUGUAUGAAUGGUUGGACGAAAUAUUAACUGUCUCAGUAUUAAUUUUUUUAAUUUAAAUUUUAAGUUAAAAUGCUUAAAUUUUUUUAUAGGACGAGAAGACCCUAUAGAUCUUUAUUUGUUUAUUUAUAAAUUUAUUUUAGUUUAUUUAUUUUUUAUAUUUUUUCAUUUUUGGUUGGGGUGACUUGGAGAUAUAUUAAACUCUUUAUUUUAUUAUACAUUUAUUUUUGUUUUAUUGACCUUGUAAUAUUGUUUUAAGAUGUAGAUACCUUAGGGAUAACAGCGUAAUUCUUUUUGAGAGCCCAAAUCGACAAGAGAGAUUGCGACCUCGAUGUUGGAUUAAGAUUAUAAUUAGGUGUAGAUGUUUAAUUAUUAGGUCUGUUCGACCUUUAAAUUCUUACAUGAUCU